rnacentral:rRNA from 1 species
UACGAAGGGGGCUAGCGUUGUUCGGAAUUACUGGGCGUAAAGCGCACGUAGGCGGACUGUCAAGUCAGGGGUGAAAUCCCGGGGCUCAACCUCGGAACUGCCUCUGAUACUGUCAGUCUAGAGUCCGGAAGAGGUGGGUGGAAUUCCUAGUGUAGAGGUGAAAUUCGCAGAUAUUAGGAAGAACACCGGUGGCGAAGGCGGCUCACUGGCCCGGAACUGACGCUGAGGUGCGAAAGCGUGGGGAGCAAACAGG